rnacentral:rRNA from 1 species
CCUACGGGUGGCAGCAGUGAGGAAUAUUGGUCAAUGGCCGCAAGCCUUAACCAGCCAUGCCGCGUGAGGGUAGAUGCCCUAUGGGCGUUAAACUUCUUUUGUGCGGGAGCAAUAAUGGUCACUAGUUGCCGAACGAGCGUACCCUACGAAUAAGCAUCGACUCACUACGUGCCAGCAGCCGCGGGAAUACGCGGGAUGCAAGCGUUGUACGGGGUGAUUGGGUGUAAAGGGUGCGUAGGAGGGGAGGUAAGUGAGCGGGGAAAUGCCCCGGCUCAACGGGGUGAAGUGCCAUUGAUACUGUCGUGCUGGAAUGCGGAUGAGGUUGGAGGAAUGCGUGGUGUAGCGGUGAAAUGCAUAGAUAUCACACAGAACACCGAUUGCGAAGGCAUUUAACGAAUCCGCGAUUGACGCUGAUGCACGAAAGCGUGGGUAUCAAACAGGAUUAGAUACCCCAGUAGUC